rnacentral:rRNA from 1 species
GGCUCUUUGUACUAAUAAAAUAAAGAGUCCGGCCUGCUCAAUGAUGAUUUAUCAUUAAAUAGCUGCGGAAUCCUAACCGUGUGAAAGUAGCAUAAUCAUUUGCCUCUUAAUUGGUGGCUGGAAUGAAUGGUACGAUGAAAAUAGAGCUGUCUCUAGUGUGUUUUUUUGAAAUUACCUUUUAGGUGAAAAGGCCUAAAUGUAUCUAUAAGACAAGAAGACCCUAUCGAGCUUUAAGUUAGUUGUAUGAAUAAUUUAAUUGACUUUUGGUUGGGGCAACCAGGGGGCAUAAGAAAUCCCUCUUUUUAAUAAAUUACUAACUAGUAAAGAUCCAGUUAUAUUGAUCAGGGGA